UAUGAACCGUUAUAACCGGCGAUUUCCGAAUGGGGAAACCCAGUGUGUUUCGACACACUAUCAUUAACUGAAUCCAUAGGUUAAUGAGGCGAACCGGGGGAACUGAAACAUCUAAGUACCCCGAGGAAAAGAAAUCAACCGAGAUUCCCCCAGUAGCGGCGAGCGAACGGGGAGGAGCCCAGAGCCUGAAUCAGUGUGUGUGUUAGUGGAAGCGUCUGGAAAGGCGCGCGAUACAGGGUGACAGCCCCGUACACAAAAAUGCACAUGCUGUGAGCUCGAUGAGUAGGGCGGGACACGUGGUAUCCUGUCUGAAUAUGGGGGGACCAUCCUCCAAGGCUAAAUACUCCUGACUGACCGAUAGUGAACCAGUACCGUGAGGGAAAGGCGAAAAGAACCCCGGCGAGGGGAGUGAAAAAGAACCUGAAACCGUGUACGUACAAGCAGUGGGAGCCUCUUAAUGGGGUGACUGCGUACCUUUUGUAUAAUGGGUCAGCGACUUAUAUUCUGUAGCAAGGUUAACCGAAUAGGGGAGCCGAAGGGAAACCGAGUCUUAACUGGGCGUUAAGUUGCAGGGUAUAGACCCGAAACCCGGUGAUCUAGCCAUGGGCAGGUUGAAGGUUGGGUAACACUAACUGGAGGACCGAACCGACUAAUGUUGAAAAAUUAGCGGAUGACUUGUGGCUGGGGGUGAAAGGCCAAUCAAACCGGGAGAUAGCUGGUUCUCCCCGAAAGCUAUUUAGGUAGCGCCUCGUGAAUUCAUCUCCGGGGGUAGAGCACUGUUUCGGCAAGGGGGUCAUCCCGACUUACCAACCCGAUGCAAACUGCGAAUACCGGAGAAUGUUAUCACGGGAGACACACGGCGGGUGCUAACGUCCGUCGUGAAGAGGGAAACAACCCAGACCGCCAGCUAAGGUCCCAAAGUCAUGGUUAAGUGGGAAACGAUGUGGGAAGGCCCAGACAGCCAGGAUGUUGGCUUAGAAGCAGCCAUCAUUUAAAGAAAGCGUAAUAGCUCACUGGUCGAGUCGGCCUGCGCGGAAGAUGUAACGGGGCUAAACCAUGCACCGAAGCUGCGGCAGCGACACUAUGUGUUGUUGGGUAGGGGAGCGUUCUGUAAGCCUGUGAAGGUGGCCUGUGAGGGUUGCUGGAGGUAUCAGAAGUGCGAAUGCUGACAUAAGUAACGAUAAAGCGGGUGAAAAGCCCGCUCGCCGGAAGACCAAGGGUUCCUGUCCAACGUUAAUCGGGGCAGGGUGAGUCGACCCCUAAGGCGAGGCCGAAAGGCGUAGUCGAUGGGAAACAGGUUAAUAUUCCUGUACUUGGUGUUACUGCGAAGGGGGGACGGAGAAGGCUAUGUUGGCCGGGCGACGGUUGUCCCGGUUUAAGCGUGUAGGCUGGUUUUCCAGGCAAAUCCGGAAAACCAAGGCUGAGGCGUGAUGACGAGGCACUACGGUGCUGAAGUGACAAAUGCCCUGCUUCCAGGAAAAGCCUCUAAGCAUCAGGUAACAUCAAAUCGUACCCCAAACCGACACAGGUGGUCAGGUAGAGAAUACCAAGGCGCUUGAGAGAACUCGGGUGAAGGAACUAGGCAAAAUGGUGCCGUAACUUCGGGAGAAGGCACGCUGAUAUGUAGGUGAAGCGACUUGCUCGUGGAGCUGAAAUCAGUCGAAGAUACCAGCUGGCUGCAACUGUUUAUUAAAAACACAGCACUGUGCAAACACGAAAGUGGACGUAUACGGUGUGACGCCUGCCCGGUGCCGGAAGGUUAAUUGAUGGGGUUAGCGGUAACGCGAAGCUCUUGAUCGAAGCCCCGGUAAACGGCGGCCGUAACUAUAACGGUCCUAAGGUAGCGAAAUUCCUUGUCGGGUAAGUUCCGACCUGCACGAAUGGCGUAAUGAUGGCCAGGCUGUCUCCACCCGAGACUCAGUGAAAUUGAACUCGCUGUGAAGAUGCAGUGUACCCGCGGCAAGACGGAAAGACCCCGUGAACCUUUACUAUAGCUUGACACUGAACAUUGAGCCUUGAUGUGUAGGAUAGGUGGGAGGCUUUGAAGUGUGGACGCCAGUCUGCAUGGAGCCGACCUUGAAAUACCACCCUUUAAUGUUUGAUGUUCUAACGUUGGCCCCUAAUCGGGGUUGCGGACAGUGUCUGGUGGGUAGUUUGACUGGGGCGGUCUCCUCCUAAAGAGUAACGGAGGAGCACGAAGGUUGGCUAAUCCUGGUCGGACAUCAGGAGGUUAGUGCAAUGGCAUAAGCCAGCUUGACUGCGAGCGUGACGGCGCGAGCAGGUGCGAAAGCAGGUCAUAGUGAUCCGGUGGUUCUGAAUGGAAGGGCCAUCGCUCAACGGAUAAAAGGUACUCCGGGGAUAACAGGCUGAUACCGCCCAAGAGUUCAUAUCGACGGCGGUGUUUGGCACCUCGAUGUCGGCUCAUCACAUCCUGGGGCUGAAGUAGGUCCCAAGGGUAUGGCUGUUCGCCAUUUAAAGUGGUACGCGAGCUGGGUUUAGAACGUCGUGAGACAGUUCGGUCCCUAUCUGCCGUGGGCGCUGGAGAACUGAGGGGGGCUGCUCCUAGU
rnacentral:rRNA from 1 species